rnacentral:rRNA from 1 species
GUCCUAGCCGUAAACGGUGUGCAUUCGGUGUGAGCGGAUUCGACCCCGCUUGUGCCUAAGAUAACUCAUUAAAUGCACCGCCUGAGGAGUACGGUCGCAAGAUUAAAACUCAAAGAAAUUGACGGGGACCCGCACAAGCGGUGGAGUAUGUGGCUUAAUUCGAUGCAACGCGAAGAACCUUACCUGGCCUUGACAUGUACGUAGUAGAAGCGUGAAAGCGUAACGAGGUAGAAAUACCAGCGUACACAGGUGCUGCAUGGCUGUCGU